AUGCAUCCAGGGCUGCCUCGGCUGAGAGUGGCCAAGGCCGCGAGGCUGAGGUGCAGGUGCAGCUACUCCAAGGACCUCGUGAGAAAGGCGUCUUCGGCUCUGGCUCUGGUGGUAGUCAAGGGCGCACCUCUGCUCGCUGAGGCGAGUGCCCUGAUGGCGGCGGCGGGCCCAAUGCUGGCCCCGCUGCUGGUGCUGGCACUGGUCGAUGAGCGGAUCAUGCCAACGGAGGGUGCCGGGAUGAACAACGACCUGCUGGGGUGGAUCCUGGUGGUUGCCUCGGGCCUCCCCUUGUCCUACAUCGUCUACUCCAUCCUCGACGACGACGACGAUGACGACCAGUCCAACGCCGGUGGCAUCACGAUCUGA
rnacentral:rRNA from 1 species